rnacentral:rRNA from 1 species
AUUGAACGCUGGCGGCAGGCCUAACACAUGCAAGUCGAACGAGUGGCGGACGGGUGAGUAAUGUCUGGGACACUGCCCGAUGGAGGGGGAUAACUACUGGAAACGGUAGCUAAUACCGCAUACCAUCGGAUGUGCCCAGAGGGGAUUAGCUAGUAGGUGGGGUAACGGCUAACCUAGGCGACGAUCCCUAGCUGGUCUGAUAGGAUGACCGGCCACACUGGAACUGAGACACGGUCAAGACUACUACGGGAGGCAGCAGUGGGGAAUAUUGCAAAAUGGGGGCAAGCCUGAUGAGGACAUGCCGGGUGUAUGAAGAGGGCCUUCGGGUUGUAAAGUACUUUCAGAGGGGAGGCGUUACCCGCAGAAAAAGCACCGGCUAACUACGUGCCAGCAGCCGCGGUAAUUC